UUCAAGUUUAUUUAGGACCCUGGGGCAUAAUAGCCUGCCAUGCCAAGGCUUGUCAAAACCCAAGCCUCAAGCCUCCUAACUACUGGGAUGGGUGAACCCCUCUGGGUAGGGCUGGUCUAAAUGCUCCCUCCAUGGGCAGGUGUCACGUGAGUUCCACCUGGUUUCGCUUUCUGCUGUGACAGGGCAGCACUGAGUUCAAGGCAGAGUCCCACAGUUGCUGCAUUCUCCCUCCCCCAGGUGCACAGAUUCUCAGCACCACAGCGACCACUGCUGGGGGAGGGGGAGGGGUGAUAUUGGUGUUUCAAGGCUGUCUCUCCUACCUUUUCAGUGCCUCUUUCAGCGACAUGAAGUUAAACCCAGGUACUGUGAGUCCUCGCCUAAUUUUUGGUUCUUAUGAUGAUGGUUUUCUGGUGGAAACAGUUGUUAAAUUUGAUUUUCCUGCAGGGGGAAUGAUUGGUAGAGACUACUAUUCAGCCAUCUUGCUCUGCUCCUCCUCCCUCCCUUCACUUUAAUUACCUCCUAAUAGCCCUAUUUUUAAAUACAAUCAUAUAGGGGGUUAGGGCUCCAAGUAUGAAUUUUGAGGAGACACAAUUCAGUCUAUAGCAUUUGGACUUGGGAAGAGGGAGGAAAAGAACACGCACAGGAAAGUCACAGUGUAAGCAACAGUAUGGAGGUGGGAAAGUUCAGCUCAUGGAUAGGAAAAAUUGAUCCAAGUUGGCAGGGCCCACAGGGAGAUGUGGUGGGGUGGUGAGUGGCGGCCACAUCAAAAGAACCUUGAAUGCCAGGCUGAGGUGGGAGGCAUUUCCUGUUGUGUGGAAUGUGCCAUGAGGUGGUGGGGAGGGUAACGUGAUGAAAGGACAUUUGGGAGGAUGGAUCUGGCAUCAGUGAUGGGUGGGGGUAAGGAGUGAACAAAGCUGGAGGCCAGGAAACCGGACACAUGGCCCAGAGUUCAGGCAUAGGCUGUUCAAAGGCAGUUUCCACACUGAGUUCCAAUGUGGAUCCAAGCAUGCAGCGGAUAUAUUUGGAAAAGCAAAAGCAUUCCCUUCCCAUUACCACACAGUUUCCCAGCUGAGUUCAUCACCAGAGUCCUACACAUCAGACAGUCAACCUGCCCCAAACUCUGUCCCUAGAAGCUGUGGCCCAGAGGGAGCCCUUGUCCAGCUGUAGCCCGGGGACGCUGCAGCCUGAGCAGGACUGCACCUGUUCCCUCCCAGGAGCCUCAUCUCUGUCCGGCCUGGCUUUGGCUUCAGAUGCCCUCAGCUUUGGCUUCGAAAUCUGUUGGGUCAGAUUCACGAGAGCUCUGGCCUUCUUUGGGUUGGGAAUUUUAAAUAGUUUUUUCAAGCAGGCAGUAGAUCAACUCUACUUGCUUACUUCUGGGUGCAUCUCCUGUUCCCCGGCCCCAGAUCUUCUUUUUCCUUGGUUUAUCCUCUCAUUGUGUUGCAGCACAUCUUCCAGUGGCUUCCAGAGAAACAGUGAAUGGAAGCCAAGCUUUCUGACCCUCACAUAUUUUAGAAUGUCAUUGUUCUACCCCAAUUCCUGAUUACUAGUUUGGCUGGAUGUAAUGCUCUAAUUUAAACAUAACUUCUCUUCACAUUGGGAAAUAUUGCUCUAUUAUUUUCUAGUUCCCAGUGUUGUUGGGAAGAAGUCAGUGUCAUGCGGAGUCUUGGCUCUUUACAUAUGACCUGUCUUUUCUCUCUGGAAGAUUUUAGGAUUUUCUAUCUUUGGGUUCUUGGAAUUUCUCAGUGAUGUACCUUGUUAUAGGUCUUUCUACCUAUACUGUGCUAGUCACUUGGUAGACUCUUGAACUAGAAAAUUAUGUGCUUCUGUGGGGGGAAGCCACCAGCAUGUUUGGGUCCUGGUUUGGGUCCCAAUGGGGCACAUGUGGGAAAGACCAUGAAUGCCCAUGUCUCCGACUAGUUUCCCCAUCAGAAGUGUUGUUGCACCAAUCAUCCUCCUCCAUUAAAACUGGACAGACUAAGGGCCACUUUCCUAAUGGAUGGGUCUUCUUGGUUCAUCUCAUGCUCCCAACAGAGCUCCCUCCCGGGGAUGGGAACGCGCCAUGCCAGGAGAGCCCUCUUGAUCCAGCCUCCAGCCAAAGCCAGUCCCCCUGCCAAACAGGCCCUAGAGUUACACUGGAGGGUGACAGGCCUAACCUGGAAAUUUCUUGCUGAAAAUUGUCAGUUUCCCACACAAGUACAGCCUGGCAGUUAAUUCAAAUUCAAACCAGAAGACUGCUGCUUCAGUCUCGACUGCUUGAAAAUUAGGUUGUGUAGAGCUUUCAUUUGCUGGAAAUUGUGCAGCCAGACAUUGUGCAGAUUGACCCAGUAGCUACAGCAAGUACACACAUAGGGCGCCAAGCAAGGACAAGUGUGCACAUGUGCGCACGCACACACACACACAGCAGAAAAUCUAGAAAUAAACUAUUUUAAUGUCAGCUGUCA
ensembl:lncRNA novel transcript